rnacentral:rRNA from 1 species
AUUGAACGCUGGCGGCAUGCCUUACACAUGCAAGUCGAACGGCAGCACGGGAGCAAUCCUGGUGGCGAGUGGCGAACGGGUGAGUAAUAUAUCGGAACGUGCCCGGUCGUGGGGGAUAACGUAGCGAAAGCUACGCUAAUACCGCAUACGAUCUACGGAUGAAAGCGGGGGAUCGCAAGACCUCGCGCGAUUGGAGCGGCCGAUAUCAGAUUAGGUAGUUGGUGAGGUAAAGGCUCACCAAGCCGACGAUCUGUAGCUGGUCUGAGAGGACGACCAGCCACACUGGGACUGAGACACGGCCCAGACUCCUACGGGAGGCAGCAGUGGGAAUUUGGACAAUGGGCGCGAAGCCU